GACGAACGCUGGCGGCGUGCUUAACACAUGCAAGUCGAACGCUGAAGCUCAGCUUUUGUUGGGUGGGUGAGUGGCGAACGGGUGAGUAACACGUGAGUAACCUGCCUCCUUCUUUGGGAUAACGCCCGGAAACGGGUGCUAAUACUGGAUAUUCACUGGUCUUCGCAUGGGGGUUGGUGGAAAGGGUUUUUCUGGUGGGGGAUGGGCUCGCGGCCUAUCAGCUUGUUGGUGGGGUGAUGGCCUACCAAGGCUUUGACGGGUAGCCGGCCUGAGAGGGUGACCGGUCACAUUGGGACUGAGAUACGGCCCAGACUCCUACGGGAGGCAGCAGUGGGGAAUAUUGCACAAUGGGCGCAAGCCUGAUGCAGCGACGCCGCGUGAGGGAUGGAGGCCUUCGGGUUGUGAACCUCUUUCGCUCAUGGUCAAGCCGCAACAAUGGUUGUGGUGAGGGUAGUGGGUAAAGAAGCGCCGGCUAACUACGUG
rnacentral:rRNA from 1 species